UAUCUCACGUUCAUAUAUAUAUAUAGCUUCUUAUACUAUCUCUUUCUUUUUCUUAUUUCAGACUUGUAAUUGGAAGAGAAAAUGGCAAUUUCUUCCUUUUCUUCCAGGGCUUUUUUUGGAGUUUUGGUGUUCUUUGCUCUAGUCUCUGCUAUUGUUUCAUCUGCUUCGGUUAAGUAUCUAAGUGAUCGUGCUCCACCUCCUGUAAUAAUGGAACAACCAUGUGGAAGUUUAAGCAAAACUUGGCAUGGGAGAUGCAGAAGGUCACAUAACUGUAAUAGGCAUUGCAAGAAUGAUGAGCAGGCAAUAAGUGGAGCAUGUCAUGGGAUUUGGACAAAGAAGUGCUACUGCUAUUACAAAUGCGACUCAUGAGUGCAAGACAAUGAAAAACUCAUCAUUAUUGAACAAUUGUCUGUUUUUUUUUUUUUUUUACAAGGAAUAUAAUUAUCUUGAUAGGGAUUAAUUUUGCUGUUUUAUAGGAUGUUUUGUUUGUUUUAAGACCAUUUUAUAAGUUUCUCUGUCAACAUGUACAAUGUUGAUCAGAUUUGGUGAUUCUCA